UAACGGGGGGGAAAAGAAACCACCAGGGACUUGCCCUAGUAACGGCGAGUGAAGCGGCAACAGCUCAAAUUUGAAAUCUGGUCCUUUCAGGGCCCGAGUUGUAAUUUGCAGAGGAUGCUUCGGGUACGGGUGCCUACUGAGUUCCCUGGAACGGGACGCCAUAGAGGGUGAGAGCCCCGUCUAGUAGGAUACCCAGCCCAUGUGAAGCUCCCUCGACGAGUCGAGUAGUUUGGGAAUGCUGCUCUAACGGGAGGUAUACUCCUUCCAAGGCUAAAUACCGGCUGGAGACCGAUAGCGCACAAGUAGAGUGAUCGAAAGAUGAAAAGCACUUUGAAAAGAGAGUCAAAUAGCACGUGAAAUUGUUGAAAGGGAAGCGCUCGCUACCAGACUUGAGUUAGGCGGUUCAACCGGGGCCACGCCCCGGGGCACUCCACCUGCUCAGGCCAGCAUCAGCUUUCCGUCGGGGGCAAAGGCGUCGGGAAUGUGGCUCUCCUUCGGGAGAGUGUUAUAGCCCGGCGUGUCAUACCCUUCGGGGGGCUGAGGUACGCGCUUCUGCAAGGAUGCUGGCGUAAUGGUAGCUAGUGACCCGUCUUGAAACACGGGAC
rnacentral:rRNA from 1 species